GAUGAAGAACGUAGCGAAAUGCGAUACGUAAUGUAAAUUGCAGAAUUCAGUGAAUCAUCGAAUCUUUGAACGCACAUUGCGCCUGCCAGCACUCUGGCAGGCAUGCCUGUUCGAGCGUCAUUUCAACCAUCAAGCCCUAGGCUUGCGUUGGAGCCCUGCGGCUGCCGCAGGCCCCUAAAAGCAGUGGCGGGCUCGCUAUCACACCGAGUGCAGUAGAUUACUCUUCGCUCAGGGCGUGUGGCGGGUUCCAGCCGUGAAACCCCCUACUUCUCAAGGUUGACCUCGGAUCAGGUAGGAAUACCCGCUGAACUUAAGCAUAUCAAUAAGCGGAGGA
rnacentral:misc_RNA from 1 species